rnacentral:rRNA from 1 species
CCGCCCUGGGUUAGUCGGGACCUAAGCUGAGGCCGAAAGGCGUAGGUGAUGGACAACAGGUUGAUAUUCCUGUACUACCGAUAACCGUUUGAGAGAAGGGAUGACACAGUAGGAUAAGCUAAGCACACUGUUGGUUAUGUGUGCCCAAGCAUUGAGGCAGUCAAAGUAGGCAAAUCCGCUUUGAUAAUGCUGGGAUGUGAUGGGGAGCGAAAUUUAGUAGCGAAGUAGCUGAUUUCACACUGUCAAGAAAAGUCUCUAUCGAGGUUAAAGGUACCCGUACCGCAAACCGACACAGGUGGGUGAGGAGAGUAUCCUAAGGCCAGCGAGAGAACUGUUGUUAAGGAACUCGGCAAAAUGACCCCGUAACUUAGGGAUAAGGGGUGCCACCCUUAGGUGGCCGCAGAGAAUAGGCCCAAGCGACUGUUUACCAAAAACAUAGGUUUCUGCUAAGUCGCAAGACGAUGUAUAGGAGCUGACGCCUGCCCGGUGCUGGAAGGUUAAGGGGAUCUGUUAGAG